GAGUGGAAGUGUGGCGACACAUGGAGCGGACAGAUACUAAUCGGUCGAGGACUUAUCCAAAA
rnacentral:rRNA from 1 species